GUGUUGGUGGCUCAGUGGUAGAAUUCUCGCUUGCCAUGCGGGAGGCCCAGGUUCAAGUCCUGGCCAAUGCA